GAAACUGCGAACGGCUCAUUACACCAGCCUUAAUUUACUUGACCUUGACACCCUACUUGGAUAACUGUGGUAAUUCUAGAGCUAAUACAUGCACCAAAGCUCCAAUCUCCCCAGAGCGGAGCGCAUUUGUUCGCCACAAAACCAAGCGCCUCAGGGCGUUCAGUGUUGACUCAGAACAACUAAGCUGAUCGCACGGUCUUGCACCGGCGACGUGUCUUUCAAGUGUCUGCCUUAUCAACUUUCGAUGGUAGUGUAUCUGACUACCAUGGUGAUGACGGGUAACGGAGGAUAAGGGUUCGACUCCGGAGAAGGGGCCUGAGAAAUGGCCACUACGUCUAAGGAUGGCAGCAGGCGCGCAAAUUACCCACUCUCGACGCGAGGAGGUAGUGACGAGAAAUAACGAGACCGUUCUCAUCUGAGGCCGGUCAUCGGAAUGGGUACAAUUUAAACCCUUUAACGAGUAUCUAUGAGAGGGCAAGUCUGGUGCCAGCAGCCGCGGUAAUUCCAGCUCUCAAAAUGCAUAGAAUUAUUGCUGCGGUUAAAAAGCUCGUAGUUGGAUCUGUGCUGAGCGACCGGUCUGCCCACUGGGCACGCACUGGCUCGCCCGGCUUUCCCUGCCGGUCUCUCUCUGACGUUGGUUUUAACCGGCUGGCGUCAGUGGGCUGGCGAGUUUACUUUGAACAAUAGAAGAGGAUCACGGUCCGAUUUUAUUGGUUUUGCUGACCGAGAUAAUGGUUAACAGAGACAAACGGGGCCAUUCGUAUUGCUACGUGAGAGGUGAAAUUCUUGGACCGUAGCAAGACGGACUACAGCGAAAGCAUUUGGCAAGAAUGUCUUCAUUAAUCAAGAACGAAAGUCAGAGGUUCGAAGGCGAUCAGAUACCGCCCUAGUUCUGACCGUAAACGAUGCCAACUAGCGAUCCGCCGGCGGAUUCAUUCGCCCUGGUGGGGAGCUUCCCGGAAACGAAAGUCUUCCGGUUCCGGGGGAAGUAUGGUUGCAAAGCUGAAACUUAAAGGAAUUGACGGAAGGGCACCACCAGGAGUGGAGCCUGCGGCUUAAUUUGACUCAACACGGGGAAACUCACCCGGCCCGGACACCGUAAGGAUUGACAGAUUGAUAGCUUUUUCAUGAUUCGGUGGAUGGUGGUGCAUGGCCGUUCUUAGUUCGUGGAGCGAUUUGUCUGGUUUAUUCCGAUAACGAGCGAGACUCUGGCCUACUAAAUAGUUGGCACAUUGCCACUGUGUGCACAACUUCUUAGAGGGAUUUUCGGUGUUCAGCCGCACGAAAUUGAGCAAUAACAGGUCUGUGAUGCCCUUAGAUGUCCGGGGCUGCACGCGCGCUACACUGGCAAAAUCAGCGUGCUUGUCCUCCCCCGAAAGGGGUUGGUAAACCGAUGAAAAUUUGCCGUGAUUGGGAUCGGACAUUGCAAUUAUUGUCCGUGAACGAGGAAUCCCUUGUAAGGGCGAGUCAUCAACUCGUCCUGAAUACGUCCCUGCCCUUUGUACACACCGCCCGUCGCUGCCCGGGACUGAGCCAUUUCGAGAAAACCGGGGAUUGUUGGCCUGACGGCUCUCGGGUCGUCUAGCCGAUGAGAACCGGCUUAAUCGCACUGGUUUGAACCGGGCAAAAGUCGUAACAAGGUAGCUGUAGGUGAACCUGCAGAAGGAUCA
rnacentral:rRNA from 1 species